rnacentral:rRNA from 1 species
CUUGGUGACCAUAGCGUUUUGGACCCACCUGAAUCCAUUCCGAACUCAGAAGUGAAACGAAAUAGCGUCGAUGGUAGUGUGGGGUUUCCCCAUGUGAGAGUAGAACAUCGCCAGGC